AACUUAAACAACAAUAAAUAAAAUGCUAAUAAUAUAAAAUAUCUAACUUUAAUUUAAUUCAUAAAAAAACUUUAAAUAUUGGGAGCAUUGUGCACUUAAUAUCAAGUCCCCUAACUGAGAGUUCGCUGCACCAAAAACUCAGCCUGUGACUGGGCAAAGUUACUGAAUUGGAAUGGAGUGAACCCAGACAGCAGAAACAGACUCCUCCAAGGACGAGUCCCAUCAACAAAAAAAGAAUUUCUCUUUCUAAUUACUUUCAAUAUGCAUAUUUUACAACAAUUUUUCUCAAUAAAAUGUGUUUUGCAAUAGAAAAUAACUUUUCUUCCUCUCAUAAAUCGAUCCCCUAUUUGUCCACAGCCAUCUCAUACCUUUAUCAUUAGAUUGCUUUGUCAAUUUCAGCAAAUAUUUUGCAAGAUUCUAAAUCAUCUAAAAUAGGACAUUUCAUGGUGAAUGCUUUAGAAAAUUCUCUAAUCUGAAGGAAUGAGAGCAGAUUCCUCAUCAGCAGAAGUUUUAGAGCUGCACCUGGAAAACCCAAAACAAGAACACUCCAUGCUUCUCAAUUUUAGCAGCAGAUGAAGCAAAAUCCCACACCCAAAACCCAAUGCAGCGCUAGACCCAGUUAACGAAACAGCAGCACAAACCAACAUCACAAAAGAUUGUUCUUUUGUGUUCAUAUCUUUAGAUGCCAUAGCCAGCUCAAUCCCUGAAAACAACAAGAGCACUCCAAGAAUUCCAAUUGGGAAUUGACUCAAAAUCUUCACAAAAGAGUUUCCAAACACCAAUCCAAUCGCUAGCUUUCCUAUCCCCAGAAAAACCACUGACGCACCACUCCUGGCACCAAACCUGUACUGCCCUGCCAGCCCACCUGCUCCAUGGCACACAGGCAUGGCCCCAA
rnacentral:misc_RNA from 1 species